rnacentral:rRNA from 1 species
GAUGAACGCUGGCGGCGUGCCUAAUACAUGCAAGUCGAGCGAACAGACGAGGAGCUUGCUCCUCUGACGUUAGCGGCGGACGGGUGAGUAACACGUGGAUAACCUACCUAUAAGACUGGGAUAACUUCGGGAAACCGGAGCUAAUACCGGAUAAUAUAUUGAACCGCAUGGUUCAAUAGUGAAAGACGGUUUUGCUGUCACUUAUAGAUGGAUCCGCGCCGCAUUAGCUAGUUGGUAAGGUAACGGCUUACCAAGGCAACGAUGCGUAGCCGACCUGAGAGGGGGAUCGGCCACACUGGAACUGAGAAACGGUCCAGACUCCUACGGGAGGCAGCAGUAGGGAAUCUUCCGCAAUGGGCGAAAGCCUGACGGAGCAACGCCGCGUGAGUGAUGAAGGUCUUCGGAUCGUAAAACUCUGUUAUUAGGGAAGAACAAAUGUGUAAGUAACUAUGCACGUCUUGACGGUACCUAAUCAGAAAGCCACGGCUAACUACGUG